rnacentral:lncRNA from 1 species
UGUGUUCUUUGAUAACUUUUUUCCAGCCUAUAUCCAAAAGAAGAAGAAUAAAUUUUAGCACCUUUUCUAUGGAAAUCUGACGGUUGCCCAAUAUGCAGCUCGAUUUGUCCAACUAUUUGGUUUUGCUCCUCUAAUGGUCACCCCCGAAAGUCAUAAAGUUAGGAGGUUUCUGGAAGGCCUUAAUGCCAAUAUAUAUAACCAAAUUGCGAUGCUAAGACCCAGCUCGUAUGCCAAGGUACUAGAACAUGCCCAGUUGGCCGAAGACCAUAUCUCAGCCAGGCACUAAUGCAUUAUCCGAGUCCAUACCAAACAACAACAACCCUAAUAAUCCAGAAAAAGAUUGUCUGACCCAGUAAGUACACCCUAAUAAACGAACCCAAGUUGCCCCUCCUCCUAUUUUAUCUCCACCUACUGGACAGCCUGCCCAACCUUCCCAACUAUGUCAGCAUUGUGGUCGCUCGAACGGUGAACUACUCUAUCAGCAUAUUAAUCACGCCUGCGAUCAAUGUGGAAGCAUCCAACACCUUGUAAAGGGCUGCCCUCAAUGGCUUAAAUAUAUGGCCAGACUUGUAGCCUAGGGUCGUGUGUACCACCUAGAUAAACCCGGUGCC